rnacentral:rRNA from 1 species
CACGUAGGGCGCAAGCGUUGUCCGGAAUUAUUGGGCGUAAAGAGCUCGUAGGCGGUCUGUUGCGUCCGCUGUGAAAACUCGGGGCUUAACCCCGAGCCUGCAGUGGAUACGGGCAGACUAGAGGUAGGUAGGGGAGAAUGGAAUUCCCGGUGUAGCGGUGAAAUGCGCAGAUAUCGGGGAGGAACACCGGUGGCGAAGGCGGUUCUCUGGGCCUUACCUGACGCUGAGGAGCGAAAGCGUGGGGAGCGAACAGG